rnacentral:rRNA from 1 species
UACGUAGGCAGCAAGCGUUGUUCGGAGUUACUGGGCGUAAAGGGUGCGUAGGCGGCUUUUUAAGUUUGGUGUGAAAUCUCCCGGCUCAACUGGGAGGGUGCGCCGAAUACUGAGAGGCUAGAGUGUGGGAGAGGAAAGUGGAAUUCCGUGGUGUAGCGGUGAAAUGCGCAGAUAUCAGGAGGAACACCGGUGGCGAAGGCGGGUCUCUGGGCCGUAACUGACGCUGAGGAGCGAAAGCAUGGGGAGCGAACAGG